rnacentral:rRNA from 1 species
CUACGGGCUGCAGCAGUGGGGAAUUUUGCGCAAUGGGCGAAAGCCUGACGCAGCAACGCCGCGUGAGGGAUGAAGGCCUUCGGGUUGUAAACCUCUUUCGGGUGGGAAGAAAAAAAUGACGGUACCACCAGAAGAAGCCCCGGCUAACUCCGUGCCAGCAGCCGCGGUAAUACGGAGGGGGCAAGCGUUGUUCGGAAUUAUUGGGCGUAAAGCAUAUGUAGGCGGUCUGGCAAGUCAGACGUGUAAGCCCACGGCUCAACCGUGGAAUUGCGUUUGAAACUAUCAGGCUUGAGUUCGGAAGAGGAAAGCGGAAUUCCCAGUGUAGCGGUGAGAUGCAUUGAUAUUGGGAAGAACAUCGGUGGCGAAGGCGGCUUUCUGGUCCGAUACUGACGCUGAGAUACGAAAGCCAGGGGAGCAAACGGGAUUAGAUACCCUCGUAGUC